CUUGCGUGGCUGGAGUCCUGUUCUGCUGUGGCUGCCUCAACUUCAUGGGAUUUUCAUGGGAAAGAAGAAAACCCAUCAUGUCAGGUGAUUCUUCAAAGGACCCACUCCUGCUCCCUGCAAAGAUUAACUGAUUGACUCUGCUGAAGUCACAUAAGUGCUGAUAAUACCAAGAAUUUGGCCUGCACUUUAUCAGCAGCCUUCAAAUCUCAUUACCAGAGCGCUGAUCUGUGUCCAAGACUGGACUUUCCUGAUAAAUGGACAUACAAGGCAAAGCUACGCUUUCUGUGCAUGAUUUCUGCUUACUAUGACAGGUGUGAACACAGGCUCAGAGAAGCCCUGCUGUCACUGCAGCACGCUUAUUUUGAAGAUAAGUGUGAAUCAGCAUGCUGUUCUUAUAGGCAAAGAAGUAGCAGCAAGAAAUCUCAGACUAUGCAAGAGGAUCAUGACCUGGCAAUCAGAGGAUUUCUGCACUGAUCCAAGCCAGAAAAAUGCUACUUUGCUUGGUGGACACUUCCCAUGGAUUUCUUACACAUCCACAUCCAAGGAGUGGAUCUAUCUGUCACGCACACCAAGCUGCUAACGCCCGUGUGGUCUUGGUAGGAAAAUGCAAAGGAAAUCCAAAAGUGCUGGCCUUGACUCCCUUCCUCACUGUCCUUCCAUACCUGCUCUGCCUUGGCUUUGUGCCCUGCUCCCUCCCUAGCGCUCUUAUCUCCCACUGAACCUGAGAAACAAAUGCUUGUGGAAGCUAAGUCGUCCCCAGCUGUUCGCUCUGUUCCUGAGCUCCCUUCCUCCCUCUCAUUCCUUUUGGAUCUGUUUCUAAACUUUUUGGGGCAGCAACUACUUUUCUGCAUGCAACAUCAAUGGACACUGUUCUUGGCUGGCCUCAAGGCACAACUGGAAUAAAUGUGAAUAACAACAACAGUGACAAAAAG
ensembl:lncRNA